GGGCGGCUUCCGGCCUUCCGGCUUUCGGCUCGCAGGAGGUCGUGGUGCAACUUUCUUCGGUCGUCCCGAGUCCGGGUUCAUCCGACACCAUCCGCCUCCGCCAUGCCGCCUAAGUUCGACCCCAGCGAGAUCAAAGUCGUGUACCUGAGGUGCACCGGUGGCGAAGUAGGGGCCACGUCUGCCCUGGCCCCCAAGAUCGGCCCCCUGGGUCUGAUCGAGGUGGUACCUUCUGCCUCUGCUUGAUCAUCAGAGCCCUCAAGGAACCACCAACAGACAGAAACAAAAAAACAUUAAACACAAUGGAAAUAUCAGGUUUGAAGAGAUUGUUAACAUUGCCCGACAGAAUGUGGCACAGAUCUUUACCCAGCGAACUCUCUGGAACCAUUAAAGAGAUCCUGGGGACUGCCCAGUCUGUGGGCUGCAAUGUUGAUGGCUGCCACCCUCAUGACAUCAUAGAUGACAUCAACAGUGGUGCUGUGGAAUGCCCAGUUGUGAUUUCUGCAUCAGCGUCAUUUGGUUAUAAUAGGGGUGAAAACUGGGGGAGGAGCAACUGUGUUCAUGGAGAUAAGCUGGAAAGUUAUAGAAAUGGACAGUGGGUAGGAUUGGGAGAUUUUUUUUUUUUUAACUCCUUUUACUGAUAGAGCUUUUUUCUUUCUUGCAGAGUUAAGAAGUACAAAGGAAAAUAUUUUAAUAAAGGGUCU